GGACUACCCGGGUAUCUAAUCCCGUUUGCUCCCCUGGCUUUCGCGCCUCAGCGUCAGAAGAGAUCCAGGAGCUCGCUUUCGCCACCGGAGUUCCUUCCAAUAUCAACGCAUUUCACCGCUCCACUGGAAGUUCCAGCUCCCCCUAUCUCCCUCCAGCUGAUCAGUAUCUCAGGCACUUUUCCGGUUAAGCCGAAAGAUUUCACCCCAGACUUGAUCAGCCGCCUACGCGCCCUUUAAGCCCAGUGAUUCCGAACAACGUUCGCACGGUUCGUCUUACCGCGGCGGCUGGCAC
rnacentral:rRNA from 3 species